rnacentral:rRNA from 1 species
CCAGACUCCUACGGGAGGCAGCAGUGGGGAAUAUUGCACAAUGGGGGAAACCCUGAUGCAGCGACGCCGCGUGAGUGAAGAAGUAUUUCGGUAUGUAAAGCUCUAUCAGCAGGAACGAGACAAGACGGUACCUGACUAAGAAGCCCCGGCUAACUACGUGCCAGCAGCCGCGGUAAUACGUAGGGGGCAAGCGUUAUCCGGAAUCACUGGGUGUAAAGGGAGCGUAGACGGCUGAGCAAGCCUGAAGUGAAAGGCCGGGGCCCAACCCCUGGACUGCUUUGGGAACUGUACGGCUGGAGUGCAGGAGAGGUAAGUGGAAUUCCUAGUGUAGCGGUGAAAUGCGUAGAUAUUAGGAGGAACACCAGUGGCGAAGGCGGCUUACUGGACUGUAACUGACGUUGAGGCUCGAAAGCGUGGGGAGCAAACAGGAUUAGAUACCCUAGUAG